UACAGAGGUCUCGAGCGUUAGGCGGAAUCACUGGGCUUAAAGCGUGUGUAGGCGGAUCGGUAAGUACCUUGUGAAAUCCCACAGCUUAACUGUGGAACUGCUUGGUAUACUGCCAGUCUUGAGCCAGCUAGGGGCUACCGGAACAAAUGGUGGAGCGGUGAAAUGCGUAGAUAUCAUUUGGAACGCCAAUGGUGAAAACAGGUAGCUGGGGCUGUGCUGACGCUGAGACGCGAAAGCGUGGGGAGCAAACAGG
rnacentral:rRNA from 1 species